rnacentral:lncRNA from 1 species
CGUGGAGCAGGAGCUGCUCCUCUACGAGGGGGUUUGGGGGUUCCCAGGUGGAUUUUGGGGCUCCCCGGUGGAUUUUGGGGGUUCCCAGGUGGAUUUUGGGGUGCCCUGACCCCAUUUUCGGGGUUCCCAGGUGGAUUUUGGGGGUUCCCAGGUGGAUUUUGGGGCUCCCCGGUGGAUUUUGGGGUGCUGGGCUGGAUUUUGGGGUACCCUGACCCCAUUUUCGGGGUUCCCAGGUGGAUUUUGGGGCUCCCAGGUGGAUUUUGGGGCUCCCCGGUGGAUUUUGGGGUGCCCUGACCCGUUUUCGGGGCUCCCAGGUGCACGUGGAGCAGGAGCUGCUCCUCUACGAGGGGGUUUGGGGGUUCCCAGGUGGAUUUUGGGGCUCCCCGGUGGAUUUUGGGGGUUCCCAGGUGGAUUUUGGGGUGCCCUGACCCCAUUUUCGGGGUUCCCAGGUGGAUUUUGGGGGUUCCCAGGUGGAUUUUGGGGCUCCCCGGUGGAUUUUGGGCUGCUGGGCUGGAUUUUGGGGUGCCCUGACCCCAUUUUCGGGGCUCCCAGGUGCACGUGGAGCAGGAGCUGCUCCUCUACGAGGGGGUUUGGGGGUUCCCAGGUGGAUUUUGGGGCUCCCCGGUGGAUUUUGGGGUACCCUGACCCCAUUUUCGGGGUUCCCAGGUGGAUUUUGAGGGUUCCCUGCUGGGUUUUGGGGUGCCCUGACCCCAUUUUCGGGGUUCCCAGGUGGAUUUUGGGGGUUCCCAGGUGGAUUUUGGGGCUCCCCGGUGGAUUUUGAGGGUUCCCAGGUGGGUUUUGGGGCUCCCUGGUGGAUUUUGGGGGUUCCCAGGUGGAUUUUGGGGUGCCCUGACCCCAUUUUCGGGGUUCCCAGGUG